rnacentral:lncRNA from 1 species
UCGCAUUUUACCAUAAACAUGCUUCCAAAUGUGGAAAUGUUUUUAUGAAAUGUUUCCAAAAAAAAAAACAUUUUACAUUGAAACAUUGUGUUGUUUUGUUCCCUUCUCCCUUUUGUUGUUCUUACCCCCUCUUUUUCUUUCCUUUUUUCCUGCUUUCUUCUCGUGUGCCUGGCUUUGUUUGUGUGUUUUAUGCGUGGGCUUUGUUUUCUUUAGGUUCAGAGCACUGUUCCUGCAUCUUCUUCACGGCAACUAAUUUUUGGUUCAUCCAACUUUUCUAAAAUUAUUAUUUAAAAUAAAAAACAGCACUAUCCUUACCUUACACACUACAGUACAUGCAUAAUAAAGAAUUAUACUAAUACGUUCCCCCACCUGAAAUAAAGGCAUAACAGUCACUUCCUUAUUUAGAUA